GGCCAUGAUGAAUAAUGCUUUCUUCUGACACCUCUUGUUUGAGAAGGGGCUUUAUGUCUCUUCCUUGAGCAGAUUUAGCACCGAACUGAGCC